CACAAUAGCAAGUUCAUCAGAGAUCAUUUUUAUCUCAAGUAAAUAUUGAAAAACUCCUGUUAAUCCUUUUAUAACACGAGUUAGUUGAUCUUUGAGACUGUAAAUCCGUGUGUGGCUUUUGUUGGCGUGAAGAGUAUGCAAAAGUAUCCAUGUUUGUUUUGAAGAAUCGGCAGAGACAACAGUGGAAGCAACAGUGUUUUCUACAUAAACGAAGAAUUGCUUGCUAAAGAAGGCGAUCUUGGUGAAACCAUUUUACAUAAGGUUCUCUUGAUUAACAUCAUUUGUUAAAAUUGUCGUUGGAGGAGGGGAUGUAGCACCUGUUAGAUGACCC
rnacentral:lncRNA from 1 species